AGUGAACGCUGGCGGUAGGCCUAACACAUGCAAGUCGAACGGCAGCACAGUAAGAGCUUGCUCUUACGGGUGGCGAGUGGCGGACGAGUGAGGAAUACAUCGGAAUCUACUUUUUCGUGGGGGAUAACGUAGGGAAACUUACGCUAAUACCGCAUACGACCUACGGGUGAAAGCAGGGGAUCUUCGGACCUUGCGCGAUUGAAUGAGCCGAUGUCGGAUUAGCUAGUUGGCGGGGUAAAGGCCCACCAAGGCGACGAUCCGUAGCUGGUCUGAGAGGAUGAUCAGCCACACUGGAACUGAGACACGGUACAGACUCCUACGGGGGGCAGCAGUGGGGAAUAUUGGACAAUGGGCGCAAGCCUGAUCCAGCCAUACCGCGUGGGUGAAGAAGGCCUUCGGGUUGUAAAGCCCUUUUGUUGGGAAAGAAAAGCAGCAGGUUAAUACCCCGCUGUUCUGACGGUACCAAAAGAAUAAGCACCGGCUAACUUAGUG
rnacentral:rRNA from 1 species